AGCGAACGCUGGCGGCAGGCCUAACACAUGCAAGUCGAACGAACUCUUCGGAGUUAGUGGCGGACGGGUGAGUAACACGUGGGAACGUGCCUUUAGGUUCGGAAUAACUCAGGGAAACUUGUGCUAAUACCGAAUGUGCCCUUCGGGGGAAAGAUUUAUCGCCAUUAGAGCGGCCCGCGUCUGAUUAGCUAGUUGGUGAGGUAACGGCUCACCAAGGCGACGAUCAGUAGCUGGUCUGAGAGGAUGACCAGCCACACUGGGACUGAGACACGGCCCAGACUCCUACGGGAGGCAGCAGUGGGGAAUCUUGCGCAAUGGGCGAAAGCCUGACGCAGCCAUGCCGCGUGAAUGAUGAAGGUCUUAGGAUUGUAAAAUUCUUUCACCGGGGACGAUAAUGACGGUACCCGGAGAAGAAGCCCCGGCUAACUUCGCG
rnacentral:rRNA from 1 species